UGGUGACUUACAACCAUGCAGGACUCCAGUUCCAGAUCUGACCCCCUCAUCUGACCUCCACAGGUACCAGGCACACAUGCACACACACAUACAAGCAAAGCACUCAUACACAUAAAAUAAGUAAUCAUAAAACCCUAUUUUUAACAGACUGAAACAUCAACUUUGCUCUGUGAGUUACAUCUCAUCAACAAAGCAGCAAAGCCGUUGACAUUUGAGUGAGUUUCUGCUUGGACUAGGUAAUCCUCUCAGUCAGAUGUGUAGUCACCCGUGUUAGUUUCGGUGCCGAGCCUGGCUCCCCCAUCCCCUUGUGUCUAUUUUAAUAGGCAGCUGGGUUACCACACAGAAUUCUGAGCCCGAGAACUGGAUUCCUUCCCUCACUCUGUACUUACUGCUUCUGUUAACGUCAGAGGAAGGACAGAAGGACCAAACGGCUAGAACCUCUCAAUCUGCUCCUCGCAGCGAGAAAAGGAGGAAAUGAGAGAAGGAAGGAGGCAAGUUACAUGGGAUUUGGGGCCUCGAACCUGCUGAGUCCCCAUUGUCUCUUCUGGAUUCUGCUGCAGUUGGGAUCCACUUAAGACAAAACAGAUACAAAGUAUCAAAAUCGCCAAGACGGAAGCUCCCAGCCUUACUUAAGGCAAGUGAUGGACUACUCUCUCCCAACAGCUUGUGGUCGAGGGCUUCAAUGAACCCCUCCUCUUAGAAAGUACGUUCACCUCUUCACCAUUCCUUCCCCCGCCCCCGCCCCCACCCAUACGUUGGCAGCCCCGCUGCGCUCCCCAAAGGUAACCACUUCCUUCUGCUUCAGCUUGGUGUGCCUGAAACUGCUAGUACAAUUUCUGCUGAAGGUAUCCCUCAGUCCAGUUUUCCUGGCUUCCUAAUUGUACUCCCCUUUUCACACCCCCACCCCCAUCCCCCAAAACGAUGGUCUUUCAUCCAGACCUCUCUUACCCGUUU